UCCAGCUUGCUGGGGGGAUUAGUGGCGAACGGGUGAGUAACACGUGAGUAACCUGCCCUUGACUCUGGGAUAAGCCUGGGAAACUGGGUCUAAUACCGGAUACGACCGAUCACCGCAUGGUGUGUUGGUGGAAAGCUUUUGCGGUUUUGGAUGGACUCGCGGCCUAUCAGCUUGUUGGUGGGGUAAUGGCCUACCAAGGCGACGACGGGUAGCCGGCCUGAGAGGGUGACCGGCCACACUGGGACUGAGACACGGCCCAGACUCCUACGGGAGGCAGCAGUGGGGAAUAUUGCACAAUGGGCGAAAGCCUGAUGCAGCGACGCCGCGUGAGGGAUGACGGCCUUCGGGUUGUAAACCUCUUUCAGUAGGGAAGAAGCGUAAGUGACGGUACCUGCAGAAGAAGCGCCGGCUAACUACGUGCCAGCAGCCGCGGUAAUACGUAGGGCGCAAGCGUUAUCCGGAAUUAUUGGGCGUAAAGAGCUCGUAGGCGGUUUGUCGCGUCUGCUGUGAAAGACCGGGGCUCAACUCCGGUUCUGCAGUGGGUACGGGCAGACUAGAGUGAUGUAGGGGAGACUGGAAUUCCUGGUGUAGCGGUGAAAUGCGCAGAUAUCAGGAGGAACACCGAUGGCGAAGGCAGGUCUCUGGGCAUUAACUGACGCUGAGGAGCGAAAGCAUGGGGAGCGAACAGGAUUAGAUACCCUGGUAGUCCAUGCCGUAAACGUUGGGCACUAGGUGUGGGGGACAUUCCACGUUUUCCGCGCCGUAGCUAACGCAUUAA
rnacentral:rRNA from 1 species